rnacentral:lncRNA from 1 species
UAUUUUUUAUUGUUAGUAUUGGUUUUAAAACGGAGAGCGAGGUUCGCCGUUAGACGAUUUCAAAAAGGCGUUAAAUUCACUCGGUACUAUACUUCACAAAAGGCGUUAAAGUCUUUGCACAUUCUUGAUUCUGAAAGUUUAAAAACGUACAUAAAACAGCGCCUUAACAUUUUUAAUUUCUUUUUCAUCUGCUAAGUAUUAUUUAACAAGAACCUUUCAAUUUUGAGCGAUAGUUUGAUGUGGGAUGGACGAAUUAAAGCUGAAAGGAUUUAAAAAGUACACACGCACACACACAUUAAUAAAAUUCUUCAUUACAGUGUUAUCCUUCGAGCACUCCAUGGACGAAAAUUCUCGACAUCUCAUUUCUUUUGUAGAUUGAUAAAUUACCAAAAAACUCAGUUUUUUUCUGACGAUCCUAAAGCAAGCUGUUUGAAUCUAUGCUUACAUUUAAUUCCUUGAUAUCCUUCAUUCAUAUGAUCAAGGUGAGUAUUUACAAAUUUAUAUAUAAUUAAAAAACUGUAAUUUCUAACUAAAAACAUUCUAACAAUAAAACAAUCUCUGAUGGUCCAGAACUCCAGAC